GCCGGGCAUGGUGGUGCUUGCCUGCAGUCCCAGCUACUUGGGAGACUGAGGUGGGAGGAUCACUUGAGCCCAGGAGUUCUGGGCUGUAGUAUGCUGUGCCGAUCGGGUGUCUGCACUAAGUACAGUAUCUAUAUGGUGACCUCCCGGGAGCAGGGGACCACCAGGUUGCCUAAGGAGGGGUGCACCCGUACAGAUUGGAAAUGGAGCAGGUCAAAACUCCUGUGCUGAUCAGUAGUAGGAUUGCACCUGUGAAUAGCUACUGCACUCCAGCCUGGGCAACAUAGCGAGACACCGUCUCUU
ensembl:misc_RNA Metazoa_SRP Metazoan signal recognition particle RNA